CGCGCUCCCCAGCCAUCAGCCCCAGCGUUUUGUGUUCACUGCAGACCUUGAUUUAAUGUCACACGAUUAAGGCACGCAGUGAAUGCCAAAGUUUGGGGCAGCCUGGGCUGGGGGCUGC
rnacentral:pre_miRNA from 7 species